ensembl:lncRNA
ACCCACCUGGAUUUCUGCAAGGCAGGAGGCAACGCAGCUGGAUCCUUCCUCCAUCUUCUUGUGCUUCCCAAUAUUCAGGGGUACCUGGCACCUCUCACAGUGGGGCUGGAUCAGCUAAACCCACCUCUCAGCACCUCCAUGAAGCCUCUCAAGGCAGCAUAGGGGGCUCUACAAUGAAGCAAAAGCCCAGGAAAGCCAGUGCUGAGGGCAGGUUAUUUGUGACAUCCCCUGUGGUGUGAGCUGCCAGCUCCAGAGAGAUAAAUGGAGCUUCUCUUUAACACCCUCUGCCUGCCCCAGUGAGUCCCUGCUCAGAAAUGAUGAGCGGUUUUGGGAGGGAUGCACUUGGAUCCUGAGAGUAAAUGCCUCCAGAGCCCAUCACGGUGACACAAACAAAUGUGUCAAACAGAUCCGAAGGCACGGGCAGGAGCACUUCUCACAUCUUCACCCGGACUUGUUCUGCUGCCCAGUCGCUGCCGCUGUCCUCCCGAGCCGUUCCCUGACUCACCAGCUUGUGCAUUUGCCCUAAUUAGUCAUUUGCAAACACUAUUGUGCUCAGGAAGUUCUCUAACGUAAGCGUGAGUGGGAACUUAGAGCAGCAAUGAAGGUCAAGAAAAGUGACUAAGGCAUCAUAUACUGGAACAAGUUUCUGUUAUCAGCCACUGGGAAAGUGGGAAAGAAAGUGUAUAUGCAGACUAUUAGAGGAGUGACACAAAAGUUUAGUAAAGGGAAGGAUGUGUGUGAGGGAGAGUAUUUGCUUAACAUGUCUCAAGAACUGCUACAGUAUGAAAUGCUUAAUUGCAGAACAAGUUUCCACUAACACCCUUCAGAAACACAGCUGGGUUUUGAAGCAUUAUUCUUUAUUAUGAGCUCGGGGUAAGCAUGUUUGGCAUGAAAGAAAUGUGUCUCGUAAGGAGACCACAACACUUACUCACAAUUCCCCGGACAGUUCAUGCUGGGAAGUCUUGAUAUCUUUGAACAAUCAUUGAGCAGCAUUAGCAAAGUGUAGACUGGGAUUUUUCUCCAGUGAUUUUUACUCAGGGGUCACCAACACAUCUCGAGCUGUUGUGUCCAAGUGAUUUAAAGUGAGCAGAACCAUAGGUAUGAAUACUCAAUGAGAACCCCUUUUGAUAUAUUACACAUUAUGUGAAUUUGGAUAGUAGUAAUAAAGGUGCACAAGUGAACCCUAAGACAUCCAUCCUUAUAGGCACUAAAAUUGUCAUUCAAAGAGUGACAAGAGUGAAAAUAAAAUCCUAUCGGGUAGGGUAAGGCGGGUUCUGUAGCUUGUAACUCAGCAGUCUCUGGUCCAGACUGCAUCAAGUGCCUCUUGGUCUUUGAAGGGCACUGAGAUUGCAGUCAAAGUAAAGAAGAGGCUUUCACUUUCAAGUGUGCCAGGCUCACCAGGAACCACUUCAACCUCAAUCUGAGCGAUUAGAGAAGCUGCAACGGCUGCUCUGAGUUGCACCAGCCUCCUCUAAGGCACGGGAAGUUCCUCUGUUAUCACCACUUCACUACCAAAACUCCCUGGAUGCCUUCCAGGGGCUCUGGUGGGGAAGGUGGCAUUGAGCUGGCCUUGUCAUUUCUGCACCCACCAGGAGAUCCCUCCCCAGUUAACCAGAAAAUUCUCUAGGGGCUGUUAUGGUGACUCUGUGAACAGACUAAAAAAACCUACACAAGCUGCAGUGCACAACUGAAUUUCUUCCUAUGUUUGAGCUGCCUAAACCUCGUUUUGAAAGAUAAAGUUGUCUGUGAGCCCUUGGGGAGGGCUUCUUGGUACUUAUGCAAGACACUUGAGCUUGAGUCUUGCUUAGAUUGUUUUUCUUCUCAAGGCUCCAGUGAGCACAGAACAACAGAAAUAUCAGUAGUUCAUAGCCACACUGCCAUGGGCUAUUGUGUUGUCACAGCUCAUAAGCAAAGCAGAGCUGGGCUUUGUCUGUGUUUGGAUGGAAAAACCUUGAAGGAAUAAAAAUAGUCAGAAGCACCUGUGCAUCUUCCACAUAUCUGACUGCUGUGGGCAGAAGCAAUCAUUUUCGUACUGGAACUCCUUGUGAUUGCUAACAAAUGUCACAGUCACUUCUUUUUCUUCUUCUAAAAAAAAAAACAAAAAACAAAAAAAACAACAACAAAAAAUACCCCCCCCCCCCAAAUACAGAACACCCAUGACUGUAUGCCUAAACCAACCUGGAAGUUGGGAAUCCACAGCAGAAGUGUUAGGAAGGUGCAGUACUGAAACACCAUCACUUUGCCCUGCAGGUGUUUCUUAUGUGCACACAGCAGCUAAAGAAUGCCACUCAUGCCUGUCAAAGCUGCUUUUUUUUUUUAAAGGUAUCAUUACUGCUGAGCUGCAAACUGAGUAGUCUCAUAAGGUUCAGCUGCAGAUGGUCACUUGAAGUCCUUGCUAGUAGGAACCCACAAGAUGUAAAGGAACCCCUGAGCUCUGUGGGGUCACUCCACCUGGAACU